AUUGAACGCUGGCGGCAUGCCUUACACAUGCAAAUCGAACGGUAACGGGCCUUCGGGUGCCGACGAGUGGCGCACGGGUGAGUAAUACAUCGGAACGUUCCCGAUCGUGGGGGAUAACGAGGCGAAAGCUUUGCUAAUACCGCAUACGAUCUACGGUUGAAAGCCGGGGACCGCAAGGCCUUGCGCGGACGGAGCGGCCCAUGGCAGAUUAGGUAGUUGGUGGGAUAAAAGCUUUCCAAGCCGACGAUGUGUAGCUGGUCGGAGAGGAUGAUCAGCCACACUGGGACUGAGAAACGGCCCAGACUCCUACGGGAGGCAGCAGUGGGGAAUUUUGGACAAUGGGCGCAAGCCUGAUACAGCAAUGCCGCGUGCAGGAUGAAGGCCUUCGGGUUGUAAACUGAUUUUGUACGGAACGAAAAGCCUUCUUUUAAUACAGGAGGGUCAUGACGGUACCGGAAGAAUAAGCACCGGCUAACUACGUG
rnacentral:rRNA from 1 species